rnacentral:rRNA from 1 species
UAUUGGCCUACCGUGGCAAUGACGGGUAACGGGGAAUUAGGGUUCGAUUCCGGAGAGGGAGCCUGAGAAACGGCUACCACAUCUAAGGAAGGCAGCAGGCGCGCAAAUUACCCAAUCCUAAUACAGGGAGGUAGUGACAAGAAAUAACAAUACAGGACUUUUUGGUUUUGUAAUUGGAAUGAGUUAAGUAUAAACCCCUUUACAAGUAUCAAUUGGAGGGCAAGUCUGGUGCCAGCAGCCGCGGUAAUUCCAGCUCCAAUAGCGUAUAUUAAAGUUGUUGCAGUUAAAAAGCUCGUAGUUGGAUUUCUGUUAAUAAUUUAUAUAAAAUAUUUUGAAUAUUUAUAUAACAUUAACAUAAUUCAUAUUACUAUAUUUUUUAGUAUAUGAAAUUUUACUUUGAGAAAAUUAGAGUGCUUAAAGCAGGCAUAUGCCUUGAAUACUCCAGCAUGGAAUAAUAUUAAAGAUUUUUAUCUUUCUUAUUGGUUCUAAGAUAAGAAUAAUGAUUAAUAGGGACAGUUGGGGGCAUUUGU